CACCACCAUGCACCAAAAUGUGGAGACUGGGGAACAGCAAGAAGAAACACCGCCGUGAAUUCACCUGGACUGACUAGAGAAACAAGCCACUUCCAGGUUCCUUCCUUUCCUCUGUUCCCCUUAUGAUGAGGUCAUUACUCCUACCUCCACAGUUCCUUCCCAGCAUUCCAUCUGUCCACUUCUGUCUCCACCCCAUAAAUUGUCUGCCUGUGAUUUCCACAAUGUCUGAUGUGUUCUGUAUGAACUGACUGACCAUAAUUUUUGCAGUAUACGGGGACGGAUACCCCAAAACUU